UUGGUUCAAUUUUUGGAACUAAUCGAUUUUAAAAGAAUUAUUCUUGAUAUGUCAAUGCUAGUUGAUUCAGUUAGAAAGAAAUUGAUUUAAAAUAUCAAAAUGAAUUUAUAUCAUCUUGCAUUUGAUGCAAAGAUGGUAAAAGGAUGGAGUUAUUAAUGCAACUGAACCUAGUGUUGGAAGUGAUAUUAGGAUCAACAACCCGUUAUGG
rnacentral:lncRNA from 1 species